rnacentral:sRNA from 1 species
GUGCGAGCCUGCAAAGCCAACGGCGUCACCGAUCUGCUGGUCGUUCACGAGCAUCGGGGCACACCUGGUGAGGCCGGAGGGAGGGAGUCGGGGUGGGAACCGUCUGAGGGCAGACGGGGUCUCUGACAGCCACCUUUCCCCGCCAGUGGGGCUCAUCGUCAGCCACCUGCCCUUUGGCCCUACUGCCUACUUCACGCUGUGCAACGUGGUCAUGCGGCAUGACAUCCCAGACCUGGGCACCAUGUCGGAGGCCAAGCCCCACCUCAUCACACACGGCUUCUCCUCCCGCCUGGGCAAGCGGGUCUCUGACAUCCUCCGAUACCUAUUUCCCGUGCCCAAAGAUGACAGCCACCGGGUCAUCACCUUCGCAAACCAGGACGACUACAUAUCAUUCCGGUGGGUCCAUAGGCCACGCCCCAGGAGAGCAUCUCCACCCUGUGUACCUCGUGCUGCUUGCCGUUGACCCACAGCUGUUCCCUCCCAGGCACCAUGUGUACAAGAAGACAGACCACCGCAACGUGGAGCUCACUGAGUGUACAUGAUCCGUCUGGGCACGCUGGAGCAGGAGGCCACAGCAGACGUGGAGUGGCGCUGGCACCCUUACACCAAUACCGCACGCAAGAGGGUCUUCCUGAGCGCCGAGUGAGCACACUCACCACUCAGUCAGGUCAUGGACUUGGAACUCAGGAUGGGGCUGUCAUAGACAGACCUACCAGUAGGAACUGUCACGAAUGGCCUGCCGAACUGGGAUGUGGAACUGUGGCGGGUGGAGAGGUCUGAAUAAACUGUCUGUGUCACG